rnacentral:lncRNA from 1 species
AGGUUUUAUAACAAACAUUAGGUAAGCAGCAAUCAUCCCCAUUGUGUAAUCUGGAUUCAGGAAUCCUGCUUUGUCAGGGGCUCUAUUCUGCAAGGCGUAGAGCCCACUGUGAGGGGUGAGUGCUCUCUCUCUCCCCAGUGUCAGUGGCCAUGGAGAACACUCAUCAUAUUUUGGGAAUGUCCAACACAUUAUUUCAGAAUGGCAAGCACCUUCCAGUACUGGAUCUGGCAGAAAUGGCACCAGAGCAAACUAGAGUCUUGCUUUUGGACCAGACUGUGAUUUUGAAGGACGUGAGGAAGUUCAUUAUGCUGGAUAUGAGCCUGCUCCUGCUCUGACUGAAAGCCAAAGAAGACAAAAAUCCAUCAUUCCCACCUCCAGGUCAGCUGCUCAGCUCUUUUUUCCUGCCAAGAUGAUUGCUCUGCCUACCUCUGCCCAGAAGAGGAGCCAGUGAGAGGAGCUGCGUGUUAGGGACCUUGCACUGAGGACCAACCUCCCAGAAUUUCAAGAGUGCUAAGGAAUGUGCUGGAUCAGACACUGGGGAGGUGCCUUUUUACAUAAUUACCACAAUUUUUUAGUCAAAGACCGCCUAGGGCCCCCUCUGGCUAUGCUGCAGUCUCUAUUGCAAAGCUUUUGCUUACUUAACUGAGGAAAAAUAUAUUUAAGACUGCACAGGCCAGGGGAAGGAAUGGGCCUGCAUUGUCAGCUCCUGCUGGAGCCCUGCUACUGUGUCCUACUGCCAGCAUGGAUACACCUGCUGCUGCUACGCACAAAUUGUCUUUCUGCUGCCAAGAGACAUCCACCAACACCCGCAGUCACGCCGAACCCUGAUGGCGACCAGAGGAGCUGCUGGUCCUGGCAGUGCAGCAGGGAUGAGGCAGAUUGAAUUAUGAGUUAAUCAGUUUUGAUCCAGUCACUCUGCUGCUAAUCAAAUUACCCUGUUCAGCUCAGCAUUGGUUUGGAGCAUGUCUACUCUUGGUGCCAAUGCAGUUCAAGUGGCACCCUGACGAAUCCACGUUUCCAGUGAAGGCAAGCCCUAGAAAGCUUAAGCCAUGCAAAAAUCUUUACUGUAGAACUGUACAACAAAACACUUCUUGUCCUCUUUAUGAAGACUGUACCAUUAUUUUGUUUGAUGUUACAAAGGCUAAAAAGAUGUACAGAAAGGAUGCACAGAAGGAUGUAUGGAAAACGGCAGUAUGCUGAUUACUGAGUCAAAUUUUAUUUGUGAGGAACACAAGCACGUGAGAAUUGCCCAGACUGAUGAUUUGUGGCUGGGAGCUGUGGAACUCUGAAAGGGACACUUGUGCUACUUUUUGCAGAAGGAGUUAAGGCCUCACAUCAGCAACACACAACUUCCUCUAAACUGCUGGUUUAAAAGUAACAUUAGAAAAACUAUUUAAAACAACAAUGUGUUUGCUGAGAACAUAUUACUUACUCAGGGAAUUUUCUUAGUUUUCUUUUUCUUCCUCAAUGUAAUUUUUGCUCUGUAGCUGCCUGAAAGUCAUGGCACAAAAUCAUUUACUCCUUCAGUACAUUCCAGUUGACUUCAAAAGAUUGCUGGCGUAAGAAGGAAAGUGCUUGGUUUUCGUUUAUUCUACAAAAGAGGAACAUGAUAUAAAUAAUUUAGAUGACUCGUCUUUGCCAAUGCCUUGUUAACCUGAAAGUUCCCAAUUCAUGUCAGGGUUCAUGUGGGCUCUGGCUGCUGUACAGCCCAGGUUUUGUGCAGCCUGGGUUCAGCUGCAGCAGCCACAAGCAUGACUGAAGUGGUCACAAGAUAACACUUGUGUUAAGGGAAGAGGGUGCAAAUUCUCUUUCUUUUGAAUAAUGACAUUUACAGAGCAGUAAAUUGCAUUUCAGUGCUUGGCCACUUAGUGCCUCUCCAGAUGGCUUAAAUGGAGCAAAACCCCAACUCUCUGUAUAGUACUCAGCUACAUGAGUUGCCGUUGCCCAUGAUUUUAAAUAAUUUUAGAGGCUGUUUGAAAACAUGACCUCAUUGCUGUCUUCAGCUUCACAGGGGGAAGUGGAGCGGCAGGCACUGAUCUCUUCCAUCUGGUGACCUGUGACAGGACCUGAGGGAAUGGCCUGAAGUUGGUGAAGUUUAGGUUGGUUAUUACAAAAAGGUUUUUGCCCCAGAGGGUGGCUGGGCACUGGAACAGCUCCCCAGGGCAGUGGGCACAGCACCAGCCUGCCAGAGCUGAAGGAGCGUUUGGACAAUGUUCUCAGGCACAUGGUGCGACUCUUGGGGAUGUGCUGUGCAGGGCAGGCAGUCGGACUCAGUCCCUUCCAACUCGGUAUAUUCUGUGAGAUAUAUUUAUCUACUUAUAGACAAUAACUAAAUAAAUACGUACAUCC